UCAGACUUCAAUGACCAUGUUAGGUUUAGGAAUUUUUUGUGCUUUCUGAUGUAACAAAAUGUGAGAUCCAAGUUAUAAAAUGCAACCAGUUGUUAAAGUUAGUUUUGCAGAGAGACACUUGAAAGUGUUUCAAUUACAUCCUAUCAUAGGUUUCUAAAUGUUCAUUAAAAUGUCUCAAUUUUCUACUGGCUAAUUUGUCCUACUAGUAACAGUCGUGUGACAGCAGGAGAAGGGUUUUUGCUUUUAUGCACUGCAAUUAUUAAACACAUUCCUACUACUAUUCCAAAUACUGAAUCUGAGUGUUUAACAUGGAUCUCAGAAUUACUGUUUGCAAGCAUUAAGACUCCCUACAAACCUAAGAAUCAGAUAUGUAUUUUAUCAAUUUUAGAGAGUUACGGACCUUGAAGCAGUGGUGAUCACACAUCCAGAGUCCCACAACAAAUCACAGCAGAGAGACCCCACCACUACCCCCCACACCAUCGUGGAUACCUUAGAGGAGCCUGAGCUGCAGAUACCUAGCAUGAACUGUGAGGAGGAGGAAGGAGUACAUGUGACCAGAGGGUCCCACUAUACUGCAGGCCAGGACCUGUUUGCGGUGCAGGAUGCCCUGACAGUUGAGCACAGCUGCCCCUCCACACCCGUGCAAUGCCGGAGGCCAGAUAAGAGGGAGAAAGAAGAGGACUUAGGAUAACAUGUUUGAAGACAUCCUACAAGCAGGGCUGGGCGGGG